rnacentral:misc_RNA from 1 species
GGGGGGGGGGGUGGGGUUGUUUGGGUGUGUUUGGAGCAAAAUUGGAAAAGACAAUUCAUGUAGAAACAUCCUAAACAAUUUGGAAACUACCCACUGAAUGCUUCAGGGUGCUUGUUCAUGCAUUUUAGUUUUCCCUUUUUAUUGGGUUUGGGAGUAUGGUUAGAGGAGAUAAAUCAUUUGGAAAAUAUUCUAAAAAUUUUGAAUCUAUGUAAUUUGAGCUUCUGAGUAGUUUGUUUCUUUGCCAAGAAAUAACUGUAUGGAAUUCAUUUCUUUGAAUGGUAAAAACUCUUGUUACCCUCUUGCAGGUGCAUGUACACUUGAAACGGCA